rnacentral:rRNA from 1 species
GACGAACGCUGGCGGCGUGCUUAACACAUGCAAGUCGAACGGAAAGGCCCUGCUUUUGUGGGGUGCUCGAGUGGCGAACGGGUGAGUAACACGUGAGUAACCUGCCCUUGACUUUGGGAUAGCUUCAGGAAACUGGGGCUAAUACCGGAUAGGAGCUCCUGCUUCAUGGUGGGGGUUGGAAAGUUUCGGCGGUUGGGGAUGGACUCGCGGCUUAUCAGCUUGUUGGUGGGGUAGUGGCUUACCAAGGCUUUGACGGGUAGCAGGCCUGAGAGGGUGACCGGCCACAUUGGGACUGAGAUACGGCCCAGACUCCUACGGGAGGCAGCAGUGGGGAAUAUUGCACAAUGGGCGGAAGCCUGAUGCAGCAACGCCGCGUGCGGGAUGACGGCCUUCGGGUUGUAAACCGCUUUCGCCUGUGACGAAGCGUGAGUGACGGUAAUGGGUAAAGAAGCACCGGCUAACUACGUG